rnacentral:rRNA from 1 species
CGUGUAGGCGGUCCGCUAAGUCUGAUGUGAAAGCCCGGGGCUCACCCCCGGAAGGGCAUUGGAAACUGGCGGACUCGAGUCCCGGAGAGGAGGGUGGAAUUCCCGGUGUAGCGGUGAAACGCGUAGAUAUCGGGAGGAACACCGGCGGCGAAGGCGGCCCUCUGGACGGUGACUGACGCUAAGACGCGAAAGCGUGGGGAGCAAACAGGAUUAGAUACCCUGGUAGUCCACGCUGUAAACGAUGAGCACUGGGUGUCGCGGGUAUUGACCCCUGCGGUGCCGCAGCUAACGCAUUAAGUGCUCCGCCUGGGGACUACGGCCGCAAGGUUAAA